UGGAAUUCCAAAAUGAGAGUAUUAUGAACCAAGGAUUAUGAUUAAUUCAGUUCUGUACACUUGAGGUCCAAA
rnacentral:snoRNA from 1 species